rnacentral:rRNA from 1 species
UACGAAGGGGGGCUAGCGUUGCUCGGAAUUACUGGGCGUAAAGGGCGCGUAGGCGGGUCGUUAAGUUAGAGGUGAAAGCCCAGGGCUCAACCCUGGAAUUGCCUUUAAUACUGUCGACCUUGAGUAUGGCAGAGGUGUGUGGAACUCCGAGUGUAGAGGUGAAAUUCGUAGAUAUUCGGAAGAACACCAGUGGCGAAGGCGACACACUGGGCCAUUACUGACGCUGAGGCGCGAAAGCGUGGGGAGCAAACAGG